UGAACCUCAGAUGUCUUGUGGGCGUGGCCCAGGUGUGUGAAUGAAUCUCAGGUGUGCAGUGGGCGUGGCCAGGUGUGAAAAUGAACCUCAGCUGUGUGAUUGGCUCCCAGGUGUGAUGUGGGCGUGGCCAGGUGUGUAAAUGAAUCCCAGGUGUGUGAUUGGCUCCCAGGUGUGCGGUGGGCGUGGCCAGGUGUGAAAAUGAACCUCAGGUGGCGUGGCCAGGUGUGUGAAUGAAUCCCAGGUGUGUGAUUGGCUCCCAGGUGGGCGGUGGGCGUGGCCCAGGUGUGAAGAUGAACCUCAGGUGUGCAGUGGGCGUGGCCCAGGUGCGCAGUGGGCGUGGCCAAGGUGUCUGAUUGGCUCCCAGGUGGGCGUGGCCAGGGGUGUAUAAAUGAAUCCCAGGUGUGUGAUUGGCUCCCAGGUGUGCAAUGGGCGUGGCCCAGGUAUGGAAAUGAACUUCAGGUGUGCAGUGGGCGUGUCCCAGGUGUGUGAAUCUCCCCCAGGUGUGUGAUUGGCUCCCAGCUGUGCGGUGGGCGUGGCCAGGUAUGCAAAUGAAUUCCAGGUGUUUGGUGGGUGUGUCCAGGUGUGUGAAUGGCUCCCAGGUGUGCAGUGGGCGUGGCCCAGGUGUGUGAUUGGCUCCCAGGUAUGCGGUGGGCGUGGCCAGGUGUGAAAAUGAACCUCAGGUGUGUGGUGGGCGUGGCCAGGUGUGUAAUUGGCUCCCAGGUGUGCAGUGGGCGUGGCCAGGUGUGCGAAUGAAUCCCAGGUGUGUGAUUGGCUCCCAGGUGUGCGGUGGGGCGUGGCCAGGUGUGCGAAUGAAUCCCAGGUGCGUGAUUGGCUCCCAGGUGUGCAGUGGGCGUGGCCAAGGGUGUGUAAAUGAAUUCCAGGUGUUUGGUGGGUGUGGCCAGGUGUGUAAAUGGUUCCCAGGUGUGUGAUUGGCUCCCAGGUGUGCAGUGGGCGUGGCCAGGUGUGUAAAUGAAUCCCAGGUGUGUGAUUGGCUCCCUGGUGUGCGGUGGGCGUGUCCCAGGUAUGCAAAUGAAGCCCCUCCCCCCCAGCAAUAAACGCACCUGGACUCA